rnacentral:rRNA from 1 species
CAGUAGCCGCGGUAAGACAGAGGAUGCAAGCGUUAUCCGGAAUGAUUGGGCGUAAAGCGUCUGUAGGUGGCUUUUCAAGUCCGCCGUCAAAUCCCAGGGCUCAACCCUGGACAGGCGGUGGAAACUACCAAGCUGGAGUACGGUAGGGGCAGAGGGAAUUUCCGGUGGAGCGGUGAAAUGCGUAGAUAUGCGGAGGAACACCGAUGGCGAAGGCAACCCCCUGGGCCUGCACUGACGCUCAUGCACGAAAGCGUGGGGAGCAAACAGGAUUAGAUACCCGCGUAGUCCCUGUCUCUUAUAC